GAGGACGACAGAGAACAGUGGACACAGUUUAACAUGAUGGACUAUAGGACAGGACUGCUGCUUUUAACUCUCUGCUGGGCAGGUGUUGAUGGUCAGACUCUGACAGAAUCUGAACCAGUGGUUAAAAGGCCUGGAGAAUCUCACAGAUUGACCUGUACAGCCUCUGGAUUCACAUUCAGCAGCUACUGGAUGGCCUGGAUCAGACAGGCUCCUGGAAAAGGACUGGAGUGGGUUGCCAGGCUUAAUAGUGCCAGUAGCAGCAUCUACUACUCUCAGUCAGUUCAAGGCCGGUUUACCAUCUCCAGAGACAACAGCAGACAGCAGCUGUAUCUGCAGAUGAACAGUCUGAAGACUGAAGAUUCUGCUGUUUAUUAUUGUGCUCGAGAGCCACAGUGACUGGAGUUGGUUGAGCAGCUGUACAAAAUCCUACAGGACUCCUUCUUACGGGACUGA